ensembl:lncRNA HCG18 HLA complex group 18
GGCCGGGUCUAGCGGUGCCUGCGGAAGAAGGAGGAGGAGGGCUGGCGAUGAGAAGCAGCAGGGGGAAUCAAGGGCAAGAAGGGACCCAGAGGGGCAGGUGGCUGAGAUGCUGGCGUCCAGGUGACCCGAGGAAUCCUCUGGAGAUACAGGCCCGCGCAUGCGCGUGCUCGAGCGCUGAAGCCCAUUGCCCGCAGGGCGCUGGACUGGCGCCCCGGCCGGCGAGGCUGUCUAGUCCAGGCUCCAGGCCCCGGCUCUGGCCAGGCGCCGCCGCCUCCCGGUGCAGCUGAAAGUCGACGAAGAGGGCGGGGCGGGGGCGGCUUGUGGACUUCCACACUUUUCCUCUCUUCGGGCCAGUCUGGGGAGAGGGUGGCUAGCUGUGGCGGCGGCCAAUUACGUGGCGGACCUGCGGGGCUAAGCUGGCACGUCACUUCCGACUAGUGGAGUUUUUAGCCUUUUAACAUUCAAGGAUUAGAGCUCCCUCUUUGCCCACUAGCAGGGCAUUAGCUGGUGCUGAAGACAGUGGCUGCUUGGCGAGCCUGGAUCUCCAAGUGACCCCCUCAGCAACUCCUGAUGAACAGGACUGAAGCCAAUAUUAAAGCAAGUCAACCAAAGGUUCUCUGGUGUAGACAAGACAGCAAAAGGACAGACUACCUUGUGGAACCUAGCAUUGUUCUCCUUCUGCAGCACUAAGUACUGUGUGCAGAAAUGUGAUUGAGAUUCAAGUCAGGGCCUCUCUGCCCUUUUCCCUCCAGAAACAAAACCAAGAUAAUUUAUCCUGAACACGGUGAAAAAAGGAAGGGAGGGAGGAGAAAAAGUCCGGGUCUCACCUGGGAUUCUCUGUCUCCUGCAACAUGAAGGAUUUAGCCUGGGAGGAGGUGGUGAGAACUCUGGGAGAGAAAAAAGAAGGAAAGAAUAGUUUUACCCAUGCUGAAGUUAAUUUAAACCUUCACCUAGAGAAGCAAAAAAAAAAAACCCACACUUUCCCAUUUUGUGCCUCCCUUCCUAGAGUUUUAGCCAAAGGUUUAGCUAAGUAAUUGGUUUUACCAGCGCACUCACUCCUCCUAUCCCAAGUCUGUUUGACUCCCUCCCCAUCAUCCUCCUCACCUCUUUUCAGGCAGGGUGGGGAUAGCAGCAGGAGGAGAUUUUGGGAGCCUGGCAACUCCUGCAAGGACCGCAGGACAGCCCCUCUGUGGGGAUGCGUGGUGCCCCAUCUGCCGCCCUUCUGAAGAAUGCACUGCCUUCACUUUUUACUGUGUUAGAGUCCAUCCAGACUGUUCUAUCCAAAAAAGUUUCUUUUUCCCCCACAGGCAAUCAGGAAAUGAUUCCUUUCCCGACUGCUUCUGUCUAGUGCCUGGGAAUCUUGAGUCAAUCCCUCAGUAAGUCAGUGACUAGGGAAAUCCCUCUCUGAGCCUCCCAGUUCAUGUUGCUUAGGGAACCUGAUAUUUUCGUGAAACCUGCCUACACAUGGGCAGCCCAACAGCAGAACAAAUGGUGGUGACCAAAGUGAACAAAGAAGUAUAGUUGUGCCAGCUUCGUAGUUGCCCAUGUGGACAAGUCAGCAGGAUCAGGACACGAGGAAGAGUAAAUGUGAGACAGUCAAUGUGACUUCUGCGAUAAACAGAUUUUUAAACCCCGAAAUUUUGCAAAAUUUUGGUGAAACCUGAACUUUCUUCGUUGCAUAUACUGGCACUAUCUGUACCAUCAUACAACUGUCUCACAUUAAAGCUAUUUUUCUUGGGCACUGAUGAGUAAGGUUGGUAUAAGUUCCUCAGAUCAACAAAAACCCAUUUUCCUGUAAGUCUUACAUUUAGUAUUUAAGGAACUAAAACUUAAAUACAUUUUGUGAAAUGGUUGACACUUCACUGAUAAUGAUUUAUUGCUUGGAUUAAUAAAUUUUCCAAAAGUUGUCUUAUGUAGAAUAUGGUUUGCAACCAGCAGAACCAUUAAUCUAUACUGCAAUGAUAUGCACUAUGUAUAAUUGUUUAAAAGCCUCUACUUAAUGAUGUAAAAUGCUCUAUUUAAUUACACAUUUGGGUAAACUGUAUACUAACAUCUGAUGGCAUUUUUCCACUGUUUGUUGCUUUUUUCAAAUACUUUAUUGUACAAAGCUGUUCUUAAUAUUUUUCAAGUUUUUUUCUUUGAAUUUUGCUAAUGUUUUCCUUGAAUUAUGAGCACUGACAGAAUGUGCUUAGCACUUUUGGCUAUUCACACAGCUUUUGAGCAUGAUUUGCAUCCAAUAUUUACAUUGCUAGCAAUAAUAAGCCAUCUGUGAGUUUUGUCAAAA